GAUAUUAAAUGAUAUCAAGAAAAUACCACUGGUUUGUAAAAGAUGCUGUGAUUAUAUAAGAACACAACAGUUUCUAGACGUUGGUCCUAAAGUAUUAACUGGUGGGACACACUGUGUCACUGAGCUUGAGUGAUAGAUAUAUGGAAGUCAGCUGUAUAAUCUCUUCACUUUUGGAUACUUUUGAAAUGUUAUUAUAAAAGCAUUUAUUAUAAGAGUGUUAAUACAGGCAAAAAUGAAACAUACUAAGGUAUUUGUGUUAGUGGUGGCUGAACUUGGACUCAGUACCUCCUCAGGAUUAGUAGGGUACCCUGGUAACUGUGUUGUUGGGGGUGUUUCCAGAGAUGUUAACCAUGGGAGGCUCACCUCCCUGAACAUUGGCAGCUAUGGGAAACAGACUUGGCUGAACGCACACAGCACUGAAACACAUCCUUCCUCCUUUAAAUAGUUUGUCAGAUACACUGAUACAGCAUUGGAACUCUGACUGACCACCUAAUUUGAAUUCCAUCGCCUGAGCCAACAUGGCAGAAGAGGAGAACCUAGAGGACACCAUCGUCCUCUGGCAGCAGACUCUGGUGGAAUAAGCAUGACCACCCCUCAAAUUAAAAUGUUACUGACGUCAAGUGCUAGUGACCAGUAUGACCCUGCUCAGUGGUAAUAAGGGCACUGGCGACUGCUUUCCCAGCCACUUUCCCACUCAGGAAAUAAUAAAGCUUAUAUCAGGUCCCUGUCUGCUGUGUGCCACUGAAAAUAUAACCAGUCAUCUUCCCAUUCCUACAAACCCCACUGUUGAUGGACCCUCCCUCCGGAAUGGUAAGACAAAACAAAUUCUUCUGUAAGGUGCCUUUGGUCUAGAGUACCGUGAAAACAGAAACAGUUAACAGAAAAGU